UAGUAACGGCGAGUGAAGAGGGAAAAGCUCAAAUUUUGAAUCUGGUGUCUUUGACUCCCGAGUUGUAAUCUAGAGAAGUGUUUUCCGCGUUGGACCGUGUACAAGUUCCCUGGAACGGGGCGUCAUAGAGGGUGAGAAUCCCGUAUAUGCCACGGACUACCAAUGCUCUGUGAUACACUCUCAACGAGUCGAGUUGUUUGGGAAUGCAGCUCAAAAUGGGUGGUAAAUUCCAUCUAAAGCUAAAUAUUGGCGAGAGACCGAUAGCGAACAAGUAUUGUGAGGGGAAGAUGAAAAGCACUUUGGAAAGAGAGUGAAACAGUACGUGAAAUUGUUGAAAGGGAAGCGUUUGAAGUCAGUCACGUCUGUCGGAACUCAGCCUGGCUUCUGCCUGGUGUACUUUCCGUCCGACGGGUCAGCAUCAAUUUUGAUCGAGGGAAAAAGACAUGAGGAAUGUGGCUGUCUUCGGGCAGUGUUAUAGACUCGUGUUGUAUGUCUCGGUUGGGAUUGAGGAACGCAGCGCGCCUAUUGGCCGGGGGUUCGCGCCCCUCGGUACGCGCUUAGGA
rnacentral:rRNA from 1 species